AUUUGUGACAAUACCACGUUGAAAGCACGACAUCCCGUCCGGUCUGUCAAGUUAAGCAACGUUGGGCCUGGUUAGUACUUGGAUCGGAGACGGCCUGGGAAUCCCAGGUGUUGUAGACA
rfam:Brugia malayi, FR3, WGS project CAPY01000000 data, contig: ctg1509756